AGGCCGCUCCGAUACGGCAGUUUCGGACUUUUAAUCCGUAGGUUGUGGGUUCGAGUCCCACGCGACCCACCA
rnacentral:tRNA from 1 species